rnacentral:rRNA from 1 species
GACGAACGCUGGCGGCGUGCCUAAUACAUGCAAGUUGAGCGAUGAAGAUUGGUGCUUGCACCAAUUUGAAGAGCAGCGAACGGGUGAGUAACGCGUGGGGAAUCUGCCUUUGAGCGGGGGACAACAUUUGGAAACGAAUGCUAAUACCGCAUAAUAACUUUAAACAUAAGUUUUAAGUUUGAAAGAUGCAAUUGCAUCACUCUAAGAUGAUCCCGCGUUGUAUUAGCUAGUUGGUGAGGUAAAGGCUCACCAAGGCGAUGAUACAUAGCCGACCCGAGAGGGUGAUCGGCCACAUUGGGACUGAGACACGGCCCAAACUCCUACGGGAGGCAGCAGUAGGGAAUCUUCGGCAAUGGACGAAAGUCUGACCGAGCAACGCCGCGUGAGUGAAGAAGGUUUUCGGAUCGUAAAACUCUGUUGGUAGAGAAGAACGUUGGUGAGAGUGGAAAGCUCAUCAAGUGACGGUAACUACCCAGAAAGGGACGGCUAACUACGUG